rnacentral:rRNA from 1 species
GACGAACGCUGGCGGCGUGCUUAACACAUGCAAGUCGAGCGGAGCGGCGAACGGGUGAGUAACGCGUGAGUAACUGCACCCCUCUCUGGGAUAACAGUUGGAAAUGGCUGCUAAUACCGGAUAGUGGGGGAUGGCUGGCGUCGUAUCAGCUUGUUGGUGGGGUAGUGGACUACAAAGGGGACGACGGGUAGCCGGCCUGAGAGGGCGACCGGCCACAUUGGGCUGGGAUACGGCCCAAACUCCUACGGGGGGCAGCAGUGGGGAAUAUUGCACGAUGGGGGAAACCCGGAUGCAGGAACGCCGCGUGCUGGAUGACGGCUUUCGGGUUGUAAACCGCUUUCAGCCAUGACGCGGUAGUGGCAGAAGAAGCACCGGCUAACUACGUGCCAGCAGCCGCGGUAAUAC